CGCCAGACUCCUACGGGAGGCAGCAGUGAGGAAUAUUGGUCAAUGGCCGGAAGGCUGAACCAGCCAUGCCGCGUGAAGGUCAGUGCCCUAUGGGCGUUAAACUUCUUUUGUGCGGGAGCAAUAAUGGUCACGUGUGGCCAGACGAGAGUACCGUACGAAUAAGCAUCGGCUAACUCCGUGCCAGCAGCCGCGGUAAUACGGAGGAUGCGAGCGUUAUCCGGAUUUAUUGGGUUUAAAGGGUGCGUAGGCGGGCUGUUAAGUCAGGGGUCAAAUGUCGGGGCUCAACCCCGGCCUGCCGUUGAAACCGGCGGCCUCGAGUGGGCGAGAAGUAUGCGGAAUGCGUGGUGUAGCGGUGAAAUGCAUAGAUAUCACGCAGAGCUCCGAUUGCGAAGGCAGCUUACUAAGCCAUAACUGACACUGAAGCACGAAAGCGUGGGGAUCAAACAGGAUUAGAUACCCCUGUA
rnacentral:rRNA from 1 species